rnacentral:miRNA from 1 species
UGUGGCCUUUUUGGAGGAAGUGUGUCACUGGGGACAGGCUUUGAGGUUUCAGAAGCUCAACUUAGGCCCAGUGGCUCACUCUUCCUUCCUGAUGCCUGAAGAUCC